rnacentral:rRNA from 1 species
GACGAACGCUGGCGGCGCGCCUAACACAUGCAAGUCGAACGAGCGAGAGAGAGCUUGCUUUCUCGAGCGAGUGGCGAACGGGUGAGUAACGCGUGAGGAACCUGCCUCAAAGAGGGGGACAACAGUUGGAAACGACUGCUAAUACCGCAUAAGCCCACGGCUCGGCAUCGAGCAGGGGGAAAAGAAGCAAUCCGCUUUGAGAUGGCCUCGCGUCCGAUUAGCUAGUUGGUGGGGUAACGGCCCACCAAGGCGACGAUCGGUAGCCGGACUGAGAGGUUGAACGGGCACAUUGGGACGUGGGACCGGGCCCGGAUCCUUCGGGGAGGAGCAGGUGGGGAAAAUGGCACAAGGGGGGAAACCCUGAUGCAGCGACGCCGCGUGGAGGAAGAAGGUCUUCGGAUUGUAAACUCCUGUUGUUGGGGAAGAUAAUGACGGUACCCAACAAGGAAGUGACGGCUAACUACGUG